rnacentral:rRNA from 1 species
CCUACGGGAGGCAGCAGUGGGGAAUAUUGGGCAAUGGAGGAAACUCUGACCCAGCGACGCCGCGUGCGGGAUGAAGGCCUUCGGGUUGUAAACCGCUUUCAGCAGGGAAGAAGCGAAAGUGACGGUACCUGCAGAAGAAGCACCGGCUAACUAUGUGCCAGCAGCCGCGGUAAUACAUAGGGUGCAAGCGUUGUCCGGAAUUAUUGGGCGUAAAGAGCUCGUAGGUGGUUCGUCACGUCGGAUGUGAAAAUCUGGGGCUUAACCCCAGACCUGCAUUCGAUACGGGCGAGCUUGAGUAUGGUAGGGGAGUCUGGAAUUCCUGGUGUAGCGGUGGAAUGCGCAGAUAUCAGGAGGAACACCAAUGGCGAAGGCAGGACUCUGGGCCAUUACUGACACUGAGGAGCGAAAGCGUGGGGAGCGAACAGGAUUAGAUACCCUGGUAGUCCACGCCGUAAACCGGUGGGCGACUAGUUGUGGGGACCGUUCCACGGUCUCUGCGACGCNCGCACGACAUAGUAGUCCGCCGCGGNGGUACGAGUCGCGAGAGUAAACUAACANAGUAGUAGUAGCGUGAGACGUGCGACGACGACGACGAGGGAGGAGG